CCUACGCCCUGACGGAGCCCUACGCCCUGACGGAGCCCUACGCCCUGACGGAGCCCUACGCUCUGACACAAUGCAGAUAUCCCGGUUAGCCAAUGUGCGGGUGCACUGGUUGGUCGGGCCAAUUGAGGUAGUAUGUACAUGAAUGUAUAGUUAAAGUGACUAUGCAUAUAAGAUAAACAGAGAGUAGCAGCAGUGUAAAAGAAGAGUUGGGGGUGACACAAUGCAAAUAGUCCAGGUAGCCAUUUGGUUACAUUUUCAGGAGUCUUAUGGCUUGGGGAUAAAAUCUGUUGAGAAGCCUUUUUGUCCUAGACUUGGCCCCAAUGAUGUACUGGGCUGUACGCACUACGCUCUGAAGUGCCUUGCGGUCGGGGGGCCGAGCAAUUGCCGUACCAGGCAGUGAUGCAACCAGUCAGGAUGCUCUCGAUGGUGUAGCUGUAGAACCUUAUGGGGAUCUCAGGACCCAUGCCAAAUCUUUUUAGAUUCCUGAGGGGGAAUUGGCUUUGACAUGCCCUCUUCAUGACUGUCUUGGUGUGUUUGGACCAUUCUAGUUUGUUGGUGAUGUGGACGCCAAGGAACUUGAAGCUCUCAACCAGCUCCACUACAGCCCCGUCGAUGAGAAUGGGGGUGUGCUCAGUCCUCUUCCUGUAGUCCACAAUCAUCUCCUUAGUCUUGGUUACGUUGAGGAAUAGGUUGUUAUUCUGGCACCACCAGGCCAGGUCUCUGACCUCCUCUCUAUUGGCUGUCUCGUCGUUGUUGGUGAUCAGGUCUACUGUUGUGUUGUCUGCAAACUUUUUUUAAAUGUACAUGUUUUACUUUUAUUUAACCAGGCAAGUCAGUUAAAGAACAAAUUCAUAUUUUCAAUGACUGCCUAGGAACAGUGCCUUGUUCAGGGGCAGAACGACAGAUUUUUACCUUGUCAGCUCGGGGAUUUCGGUUACUGUCCCAACGCUCUUAUCACAAGGCUACCUACCGCCACUAACAAACUUAAAGAUGGUGUUGGAGUCGUGCAGUCGUGUGUGAACAGGGAGUACAGGAGGGGACUGCGCACACACCCCUGAGGAGCUCCAGUGUUGAGGAUCAGCGUGGCAGAUGUUUCUACCUACACCCUAACUAACCCCUACACCCUAACUAACCCCUACACCCUAACUAACCCCUACACCCUAACUGCCCCCUACACGCUAACUAACCCCUACACCCUACAGUUGUGCAAGUCAGAAGUUUACAUACACCUCAGCCAAAAACAUUUAAACUCUGUCUUUGUUCAGUUAGGAUCACCACUUUAUUUUAAGAAUGUGAAAUGUCAGAAUAAUAGUACAGAAAAUGUUUUAUUUCAGCUUUUAUUUCUUUCAUCACAUUCCCAGUGGGUCAGAAGUUUACAUACACUCAAUUAGUAUUUGGUAGCAUUGCCUUUAAAUGGUUUAACUUGGGUCAAACAUUUCAGGUAGUCUUCCACAAGCUUCCCACAAUAAGAUGGGUAAAUAUUGGCCCAUUCCUCCUGACAGAGCUGGUGUAACCAAGUCAGGUUUGUAGGCCUCCUGACAGAGCUGCUGUAACUGAGUCAGGUUUGUAGGCCUCCUGACAGAGCUGCUGUAACUGAGUCAGGUUUGUAGGCCUCCUGACAGAGCUGCUGUAACUGAGUCAGGUUUGUAGGCCUCCUGACAGAGCUGGUGUAACUGAGUCAGGUUUGUAGGCCUCCUGACAGAGCUGGUGUAACUGAGUCAGGUUUGUAGGCCUCCUGACAGAGCUGGUGUAACUGAGUCAGGUUUGUAGGCCUCCUGACAGAGCUGGUGUAACUGAGGCAGGUUUGUAGGCCUCCUGACAGAGCUGGUGUAACUGAGGCAGGUUUGUAGGCCUCCUGACAGAGCUGGUGUAACUGAGGCAGGUUUGUAGGCCUCCUGACAGAGCUGGUGUAACUGAGGCAGGUUUGUAGGCCUCCUGACAGAGCUGGUGUAACUGAGGCAGGUUUGUAGGCCUCCUGACAGAGCUGGUGUAACUGAGGCAGGUUUGUAGGCCUCCUGACAGAGCUGGUGUAACUGAGGCAGGUUUGUAGGCCUCCUGACAGAGCUGGUGUAACUGAGUCAGGUUUGUAGGCCUCCUGACAGAGCUGGUGUAACUGAGUCAGGUUUGUAGGCCUCCUGACAGAGCUGGUGUAACUGAGUCAGGUUUGUAGGCUUCCUUGCUCGAUCAUGCUUUUUCAGUUCUGCCCACAAACUUUCUAGAGGAUGGAGGUCAGGGCUUUGUGAUGGACACUCCAAUACCUUGACUUUGUUGUCCUUAAGCCAUUUUGCCACAACUUUGGAAGUAUGUUUGGGGUCAUUGUCCAUUUGGAAGACCCAUUUACAACCAAGCUUAAACUUCCUGACUGAUGUCUUGAGAUGUUGCUUCAAUAUAUCCAAGUUAUUUUCCUGCCUCAUGAAGCCAUCUAUUUUGUGAAGUGCACCAGUCCCUCCUGCAGCAAAGCACCCCCACAACAUGAUGCUGCCACCUCCGUGCUUCACGGUUGGGAUGGUGUUCUUCGGCUUGUAAGCCUCCCCCUUCUUCCUCCAAACAUAACAAUGGUCAUUAUGGCCAAACAGAUACAUUUUUGUUUCAUCAGACCAGAGGACAUUUCUCCAAAAAGUACAAUCUUUGUCCCCAUGUUCAGUUGCAAACCGUAGUCUGGCUUUUUUAUGGGGUUUUGGAGCAGUGGCUUCUUCCUUGCUGAGCGGCCUUUCAGGUUAUGUUGAUAUAGGACUCGUUUUACUGUGGAUAUAGAUACUUUUGUACCUGUUUCCUCCGUGUGGUCCUUCUGUGGCUCAGUUGGUAGAGCAUGGCGCUUGUAACGCCAGGGUAGUGGGUUCGAUUCCCAGGACCACCCAUACGUAGAAUGUAUGCACACAUGACUGUAAGUCGCUUUGGAUAAAAGCGUCAGCUAAAUGGCAUAUAUUAUUAUAUUAUUAUUAUAUUAUCUUCACAAGAUCCUUUGCUGCUGUUCUGGGAUUGAUUUGCACUUUUCACACCAAAAUACAUUCAUCUCUAAGAGACAGAACCCGUCUCCUUCCUGAGCGGUAUGACAGCUGCGUGCUCCCAUGGUGUUUAUACUUGCGUACUAUUGUUUAUACAGAUGAAUGUGGUACCUUCAGGCGUUUGGAAAUUGCUCCCAAGGAUGAACCAAACUUGUGGAGGUCUACAAUUUUUUGUUCUGAGGUCUUUGCUGAUUUAUUUAGAUUGUCCUAUGAUGUCAAGCAAAGAGGCCACUGAGUUUGAAGGUAGGCCUUGAAAUACAUCCACAGGUACACCUCCAAUUGACUCAAAUGAUGUCAUGGCUUUAGAAGCUUCUGAUAGGCUAAUUGACAUAAUUUUCUGAAAUUUUCCAAGCUGUUUUAAAGACACAGUCAACUUAGUGUAUGUAAACUUCUGACCCACUGGAAUUGUGAUACAGUGAAUUAAGUUAAAUAAUCUGUCUGUAAACAAUUGUUGUAAAAAUUACUUGUGUCAUGAACAAAGUAGAUGUCCUAACCAACAUACCAAAACAACAGUUUGUUAACAAGACAUUUGUGGAGUGGUUGAAAAACAAGUUUAAUGACUCCAACCUAAGUGUAUGUAAACUUCUGACUUCAACUGUAACUAACCCUAACUAAAGGUGACAGGUUAGUCUAACCCCUACUAACUAACUAACCCUAAUAGAAAGAACCCUUUAAUCGGUGUUGUGAUUUGGUUUGACAUUACAAAAUCAACAUUCCAUUCCUGCAGAUUCCUCCUUUAAGUAGCUGUGGAGGUUUGA